rnacentral:lncRNA from 1 species
CUCCCACAUCGUACCCAGUGGCCUCGUACUCCUUGGCCUCCCUGGGCUCAGGCGCCGUGCUCCCUGCCUCCUCCUCCUGCUCAGGUCUCAUGGCCAGUAAGACUGUCAUCGGUCCUAAUCGUGCUCCCUUUGGUUUGGAUCUCUUGUGGCACCAAGGGGUGGAGGGUACCUUCAGAGGUCAAGAAAAUGGACUGGCAUGGCAGGCACAUGCCCGCCAGAGGACUCUGUCAAAUGGCCAAGGCAUUCCCAUCAAUGCCAGGUGUCAGCAUACUGCAAGGAUGCACCGAGAUACACGGCUGCCAGUGAAAAGAAGAUGCCCUCUGACUUGCCACCAUGAGCAGUCAAAACAAAACUUGUCUUCGAUUAGGCCGUGUUCGUGUCAGGAGAAACACAGUGUAGCUGCUGACUUCACUGUGCCCCCUCACCAACCUAAGGCAAUUCAAAAAGAGUUUUCGGGUUGUAUGCAAAUAAUUUUAUUUCUAAAUGAAUACUGUUUUAGGGUAGGAUUUGGGAGAACUUAAGCCACAGUAUUUUUUCCCCAAAAUAAAAGUUAUAGGCUACAAAGGUGAUGCAUUCUGCUGCAUAAUAUUCUUUUUAAAAACCAAUGGUAAACUAUAUUCUGACUUUUAUGUCAAUUAGGCAAAUAACAUGCAGACUUAUUUAAUAUUCACUAAAAAUGACUACCUAUGACAGAUUUUUAGAUUUUUUUCCUACUGCAUGCAUCUUUUGAUUACAU